rnacentral:rRNA from 1 species
UCCGCUGAGGGCGGCUUUUCCCUGGUGUAAGGAGCCGGGGGAAUAAGGAGAGGGCAAGUCUGGUGUCAGCCGCCGCGGUAAUACCAGCUCUCCGAGUGGUAGGGAUGUUUAUUGGGCUUGAAGCGUCCGUAGCUGGCCUGACAAGUCUUCCGUUAAAUCUACCGAUUCAAUCGCUAGACCGCGGGGGAUACUGUUGGGCUAGGGGGCGGAAGAGGCCGACGGUAUUCUCGGGGUAGGGGUAAAAUCCUAUAAUCCCGGGAAGACCACCAGUGGCGAAGGCGGUCGG